CUUGCCAUGCUCUUUCUGCUUAGGUCUCUUUUCCUGGCGUGAGGAGAGUGCUUGGGCGAGGUUUUCUGUGUGCUCUGGCGCCUGGGAAGGAGGCUGAGAACCAGCUGGCUGCU